GACGAACGCUGGCGGCGUGCUUAACACAUGCAAGUCGAACGGAAAGGCCCUGCUUUUGUGGGGUGCUCGAGUGGCGAACGGGUGAGUAACACGUGAGUAACCUGCCCUUGACUUUGGGAUAACGUCAGGAAACUGGGGCUAAUACCGGAUAGGAGCUCCUGCUGCAUGGUGGGGGUUGGAAAGUUUCGGCGGUUGGGGAUGGACUCGCGGCUUAUCAGCUUGUUGGUGGGGUAGUGGCUUACCAAGGCUUUGACGGGUAGCCGGCCUGAGAGGGUGACCGGCCACAUUGGGACUGAGAUACGGCCCAGACUCCUACGGGAGGCAGCAGUGGGGAAUAUUGCACAAUGGGCGGAAGCCUGAUGCAGCAACGCCGCGUGCGGGAUGACGGCCUUCGGGUUGUAAACCGCUUUCGCCUGUGACGAAGCGUGAGUGACGGUAAUGGGUAAAGAAGCACCGGCUAACUCCGUG
rnacentral:rRNA from 1 species